AGAGGAAGAGAGGAAGCAGGAGAGAGUUUUAGGUCUUUUGGAAUGGGGACAGCAUAUAUGUAAGAUGUAGCUGCUAGAGUUUCCCGGUAUCAUGGCGGAUGUGUAAGGAUUCGCCACCAGAGGAAUCAGAUUUUAAUAAGGCUUACAAGAUUAGGUUUUAGUUGUUGUGCCCAGAGAUUGAGUUACCAUUGUUUCUGAACUAAGUUUGUGUUGGCUUUCCCUUCACACAGUGGGGGCGGCUCAUCUGGGUUCAAGAGAGAAAGGGUUCAGACUACAAACUGCUUCUGUGUGACUAAGAGAAGAAGAAUCAGAGUAAAGAGAAACAUACUCUCUUAAUCUCCGAAGAUUAACGGCAGGAGGAGCUCUAGAAUUUCACAAAGGUGCUGUCAGGACACAUGAAAAUCUAGAGAAAAAGACCAGCUUGAAGAGACCAAAAAGAAGAAAGCCUGCCAAUCACAUCCUCCAGAGAUUCUGAGACACACACACCCCUGGUGUAGGGGGACACCAUCUGAAAGGUGACACCCAUUCUACGGAAUAUAAGUACCAGCUAAAGAGGACACACACUUGAAGAAAAAGGAGACAAUGAGGUCUUGUGAAUGCUCUAAUUUUUCAAAGCUUACUUUUAAUGAUGGUUCUUAAACGCUUUAACCUCCCUUCUAGUCCACCACCCACCAAAGGUAGUGAAAAGAAAGGUGAUUAGGAUACAGGCGAAGUGAACCUGUUCAGACAUGGUUCUUUGGUGCACAACCUAGCAGGAACAUCCAGGUCUCAGUGGAAUCAGCUCAAAUCAGCAUGAAGAAUUAGGACCAUUAGGAGUUCCAGGAGAAGCUCUCAGCUCUGCCUCUCUGGACAAAUCGAUGAUCAGGAAAGACAAAAGCGCGAGAAGCGUUGCAGAGUUAGCUGUACAAGCUAGCCUCUCUCACGGUCUGUUGAGUCCUAUUUAUACUCCCUCCAAACAUCACAUGUCCUCCAUGGGUCUUGCCUCACCGUGUGUCUUACCUCAGCACAUGAAUCUGUCUCAGCUGAUAUCGCUCUGCUAAGCGACCAAGUCGGCAGAAGAGGCAAGAAGCCACCAGCCAUCACCAGAAGGUUUUUGGUGCAUUUCUCUCUGUGGAGUGUCAACAAAUGAAGAUCAACUACACAAUGAAAACACUCCUUCCUGUGUGUGCCCCAGCAAAGCACAAUUCAAUGAAACUGACUUUCUAAAGAAACCAAAAGUUGGGGCUGGAGAGAUGGCUCAGUGGUUAAGAGCACUGACUGCUCUUCAAGAUGUCCUGAGUUCAAUUCCCAGCAACCACAUGGUGGCUCACAACGAUCCAUAAUGAGAUCCAAUGCCCCCUUCUGGUGUAUCUGAAGACAGCUACAGUGUACUCACAUACAUAAAAUAAAUAAAAUCUUGAAAAAAGAAAAAAGAAAGAAAGAAGCUAGAAGUUUCCACU
rnacentral:lncRNA from 1 species